UGGCGGACGGGUGAGUAACGCGUGGAAAACCUGCCGUAUACUGGGGGAUAACACUUAGAAAUAGGUGCUAAUACCGCAUAAGCGCACAGCUUCGCAUGAAGCGGUGUGAAAAACUCUGGUGGUAUACGAUGGUUCCGCGUCUGAUUAGCUAGUUGGUGGGGUAAUGGCCUACCAAGGCAACGACCAGUAGCCGGCCUGAGAGGGUGAACGGCCACAUUGGGACUGAGACACGGCCCAAACUCCUACGGAAGGCAGCAG
rnacentral:rRNA from 1 species